CGAUUUAUUUACGAAAUUGCCACCGCUUCUACCGUGCACGUGUCGACCAUCGUAGAAAGGGUUCCGUCGGGCUCAAUCAGAGUGGGUUGAGGGCAGUCUGCAGAGUGACAAAGGGUACUCCGGCCUCCACACCAAGGCCUGCAUCAGCCCCACCCUCCUCCUCUCCAACAUGUAUCAGCGCCCCGAUAUGCUCACCAACCCCGACGCCGACCCCUAGGGCUAAGCCCUCGACCCCCGCAAGAUCCAGGACAACUUCGAGUUCAUAUAAUGUAGGAGGAUAGUUUGAUAUAGCAGUGCUCAUGGAUCUCGCUGAAGAGGUGAAGAAGGAACUUGAAGAUCCUCAUGGUAGGUACAGUUUUGGAUGGAGUCGUGGAAAAGAGAAGCUGAAAUCUGGAAAGUCUGGCUAAUUUUAUGCAAAUUCAAUAUUAGACAAGUGUACAACAGACGGAUCUCUAAUUCAAAGAUAAGCAAUGCUCUAGUGGGAGUCGACCGAAAAGACUUGAUGAGGAAGCUAUCAAAAUUUAUUUAUGAGGAAGAGAAAGCUCUUGAGCUUUCGCAUAGAGAGUACAUUUGGGGUCCUACAAUUCCUGUGUUGAGCUUUCAGUGCCCAAUUGAGAGACAGGGAAGUGUGAAUAGAUCAAAGUUUAGGAUUUUUGUUUGGCCACCAUUGACGAAGUGUGUUGAUGCACAAAAUCCGAUGGAUCUUGGACUAGCGUAAAUCCGACCGUGAAUCACACAAGCGCACGAGAACACAAAGAUAUAUCGUGGUUCACCUCAGGUUGAGGCUACGUUCACACUGGUGUCGAUUCCGUUUCACUCUGCAAAUGAAUGUUGAAUAUACAUGGAGGCUCUAGAGGCAGUGUCUGAUCUCUUGUUUUCCCUCUCUCUCUUCUUGAGUCCCCCCUCAGUGAAGUGAAGCCAAAAGAGAAGAGUCGGUUGAGAGAAAAAGAAGUCUCACGUUUAGUUCGGCCACCAUCUCUUAUCUGCAAAGCGAAGAAGAAUUCAGCAGAUUGCAAGACUGACGCAGAUGAUGCCGAAUGAAGGGGAACUGAUGAGUUUUGGCAAGAUUUUGGAGAACAACAUGACAGUGGGUCAGUGUAAAUUACCUUUGGUUGGAUUGGUUGAGGAAUUGUCGUGAUGUGUGUUGUUGUACAGCCAGCUAUGGGAAAAUCUAAAACAGGCAAAUGAGAAAACUGAAUACACUAUUUCAUACCUGGUGGUUUGUGUUCUAACAAUAAAGAUGUGCUUCAGGCUGUUUCUUCAAUCAGCAAGAAUAAUUGGAACAGGUUGAACCAAAAACUCUCCAAGAAGCCAAUUUUCUUAAAGGCAGUGUUAAGCCUCUCAAUUGCUUUUGGCGUUUGAUUCAACAGCUCAGCUCAGCUCAGUUCCGGGUGUCCAAAUCAAUCAGUUUUCCGACCCAUCCUUCUGAAAGCCAUGCCUGCUUGCUAAGCUUCACGAUCCCGAACCCGGAAAUCCUUUCAAUUUCUCAGUAAAACUAUAUUCGAUGGCUUGAAUGUCUUCAGGACUUCAUUAACCGUUUAGAAGCGGAGCCGACGAUGCGAGAGAAAAAGGGGAGCAAGCAUGUGAGGAACUCUGGUUGUGGGAGGAAGAAGUUGGUUCCUUGCUAUUUUUAGGUAUACGAUUAUGUGCCCUAAUUGCAUGUUUAUUUAUCUUUGCAAAGCUUUCGUACUUGGAUUUUAAAUGUGUUUGGUUUGUGAAAAAUAAACGAGAAACUAAUCAUGGGGACAUUCUUAUUCAAUUUAAAUGUGUUUUAUUCAUCCGAUUACGCCUGAAACAGCUGGUUCCCGCAGCAACGCUCGGGCGUAUUUUCUAGUUAUAACUAAGAUUAGGGUAAAAAUAUAGAAUAAUAUCGACUCAUCACCUAUCGAUUGAAAUCUUUGCUUAAUAAAUUGGAUGUGUCCUUUUUUCUCUUUGGUUGAAAUUUGACGUUCUUUGAAUUCAAUUUUUUUAUUUUAUUAUUCAAUUGCAUUGAUGAAUGUUAAUAGAAUUCAAUUAUAUCUAUCGGUCAUCUUGCUUGAAUAUUAUGGCUUAAUUUUCUGUUUCUUAGUUUCAUGGUUGGUUGGUUGGUUGGUUGGUUUGUUCCAUUUUUUUUAAAGAAACCUCGACUGCAUAAGAGAAAUUUUAUAGAAUUAGAAAAAAGAAGUUGCAUUUAGUUAAGGGGACAUAAAGUUUAGCUCAUUAUAUAAGAAGAAAUAAUAAGGUAAAAAAAUACAAUAAAGAGAUAAACUUGACUCUUCUUAAGAAAACAAAUAAAAAUACAAGAAAAUAGGAACUAUGCGGUCCCCCGGAUGUUCCUCAGGGGUUUGCCGCCCCCCCCCCCCGGGGGGUGUGGUGGGGUGGGUGUGUCAAGCCUUAUUUGGAGUUUCUGGAGUUGGUGGGGAGGAUCGGUGGAUAUGCGAUUGCAGUUGAUUUGGAGUUGGGGGGACACUCCAAAUCCAUCGCGGAUUGCGAGCAGGUGGAGGUGGCGGCCUUUUGAAUGGUCUUAGACUGCGGCGAUCGGGCACCACUUUCGUGCUCAAAAUAUCACUUUGGCAUUCAAAGCAACCUUGUUCAAUUACAUGAGAAAAUCACAAGAAGCAAGAAAUUAGUUACCAAAUAAUAAAAUUGGUAAAAACUAAGUCGAUUUAAGUAGCUAAUACUAAUGCUUGGAUAUCUUAUAAAAGGAAGAUAAUUAUUAUUAUACCAUGAGGCAGUGGUCCACAAGUUACUUGGAAAUCCCCCAUUAGAAGCAACACUAGUGUUGUAAUUGCCACCAGCUUUGCUGAAGAACCAUUCAUCUUCGGAAGCAGAAACAAUAACUUCGAAAAUCCUUUCACCACAACGUGGAGAUGAAUGAUAGUGCAAAGGGAAGGCAAGAUUUAUAGACUUUAGCUUGCAGGGGUUUGGACAAUAAUUAUAUGCUUCUGUUUCUUUCUUCCUUUUGGGUCAAUAUAUGCUUAUGUUUCUAAUUGGACUAUCAAAGGGAGGACCCUUGAGUCGUCCAUUGAUGUAGAAUAGGAAAUGAACCGUGGAAAGAUAAAGGGACAGUAAUAUUUGAAUAUUCAAGACUCGAUUUGGCCCGUGAUAACUUUCCAAAAAAACAAUGGUGCCACAAGUCCAACACACUGCUUAGGCCUCGAUGUUUGAUGGAUUUUGGUCAUCUGGGUUCAUUUCAACCUUCAAAAUAGCGUUUAAAGUUUCGAAAUAAAAAUCGGACUCUUCGUUUGUAGUCCGAUUAAUGUUUAACUAAUGUUGUUGUAAUUAUUAGAAGUCAUUUGAGUUGUUCCAAACAUUUGUAAUCUUUAUUUAAGUCAUCUGGAUGUGUCAAUGACAAUCAUUCAAGAAUUAAUCAAACAAAAACCCUUUGGGAUUUCAUUCAAUUUUCUGAUGGAUUUCUAGAUUUUGUUGUGCAAUGGAUUACGUUGAUAACCCUUACAUCGUUUUAUUCUGCGUCAUCCACUCUUUUCAUUUAUUCUCUACCAUACAAGAGAUUCUUCAUUUGUUUAUUGAAAAUAGUGUAAUUUUAAACGCAUGACAAUUUUUUAUUAAACUUUAACGUCAUUGAAAUUAAAACUUGAUUACAAAUUAGAAUUUCUAUAUACCAUACACCUCAAUUUAGUACAAUCACCCAUGUGUAGUGUGACAAGUAACUCGUCACAAGUCGCGUAAGACUCCUCAAUACGAGAGUCCUUUUUUUACCAAUAUGUCAUUUGCAUAAUUUUUUCUUGGUUAAUUAUCUACGAAUAAAGUCUUUUCUAAGUUAAUUAUCUGCGAGAAUAAAGUGAGAAAAAAGCAAAGAAAUUAGAAACUUUUUAUGACGGUUGCUCAUAUGUAGGGCUCCAUUUUGCGAUCGCUUCGGCCCCCAAAUUUCAAGCCCCCAGCGGCGGUGCCGGAACAAAUUCCUUCCUUAAUUUAUUUUUUAUGGGUGAAGGUGGAGAUGAAUGAUAGUGCAAAGGGUAUGGUAAUUGAUGUCCGCCUCAGCACCCUUUGCGGUCAUAUUGUUGCCAAUUCCAUCAGCAAUUUUACUCUCUUCAUUGUAUCCUUUUUGGUGAUUACAGCUUUUCUAUUGACAUUCGGCUUUAAAUCUUUGUUACAUUGUUCGAAAAAAAUUUGGCUAGUGAUUUUCACGCUCGAUUGAAUCUCUUGCACUCCUUCCUUUGAGUGCAAAACACUUAAAAUGAGUGUCCAAUAUCGCUAUCCAAAAGUUUACGUAUUUUUCCUUUGACUUGUUACCACUUUUUAGCAAUAACCCAUAAUUUUUCUAUAGGUGCCUAUGCUCUUUGCCAUUUGAAUUUAGUUAUAUGAAUAUUUACAUAAAUAU